CCGCAAAAGAAGCAGAGGGGGCUUAGUGGUGGGGUGACUGCGUACCUUUUGUAUAAUGGGUCAGCGACUUAUAUUCUGUAGCAAGGUUAACCGAAUAGGGGAGCCGGAGGGAAACCGAGUCUUAAUUGGGCGUUAAGUUGCAGGGUAUAGACCCGAAACCCGGUGAUCUAGCCAUGGGCAGGUUGAAGGUUGGGUAACACUAACUGGAGGACCGAACCGACUAAUGUUGAAAAAUUAGCGGAUGACCUGUGGCUGGGGGUGAAAGGCCAAUCAAACCGGGAGAUAGCUGGUUCUCCCCGAAAGCUAUUUAGGUAGCGCCUCGUGAAUUCAUCUCCGGGGGUAGAGCACUGUUUCGGCUAGGGGGCCAUCCCGGCUUACCAACCCGAUGCAAACUGCGAAUACCGGAGAAUGUUAUCACGGGAGACACACGGCGGGUGCUAACGUCCGUCGUGAAGAGGGAAACAACCCAGACCGCCAGCUAAGGUCCCAAAGUCAUGGUUAAGUGGGAAACGAUGUGGGAAGGCCCAGACAGCCAGGAUGUUGGCUUAGAAGCAGCCAUCAUUUAAAGAAAGCGUAAUAGCUCACUGGUCGAGUCGGCCUGCGCGGAAGAUGUAACGGGGCUAAACCAU
rnacentral:rRNA from 1 species